AGUAAAUUACGUGUUCUGAGCAACGACAUGCACCUGGACAUUUAGUCUGAGCAGAUUCUGUAACAUUAAAAUAGGUUGUGCUACUUUGACAAAAAAGCAACAGAUCUUCCUGAAAUGCAAUUUUCUUUUUCUUUAUGCUUUUGUAUUUCCAGGAGCCGUAUCAUCCAUGGAGCAGAAGUACCAGAAAGCAAGAAUGAGAGAGAAUAAAGAAAAGCACAAGACUUCUCCCUAUAAAGCACUGUUAACAAUCAAUUUUCUACAAAAACAGGGGUCCUGAAGGCAAGACCACCACCACCUUACGGUGGCAACCUGAGUAAUGUAAAUUUUUGCUGUAUAGCUAGACAAGAAACACUGAAGAGGAACACAGAGAGGUAGAGAUUCAGCUGGAAAACUCGCAGCAAUGUCGAGUGCAAGCCUGAUGUGUUGCUCUGGAAAUCUGGAAGCAGAAAUGACACAGAAAUCUACUUGGAGGGACCAAGACUUUAACCUCUCCCUGUUUCUCCUGGUGUUAUCACCACAUAUAAUUUGUUAUUGCAAUGAAGGGACAGAAAGGGACAAAGCAAAACUCUUCCAACGUGCAGCCCUUGGAGACCACAGUGUGAGAAUCACAGAGACACAAUGCCUUGCUCUCCGUUUUCCAUCACGAGCUGGGUACCGCAGGGAACGCAGUUAAAAAUGUCUUCUAAAAUAGCUUUAAGGAUUGGAAAUCUGAUAAGGCAAAUACAAGUGGCAAAGCUCCACUGACGUCAGUGAGACUUAUAUAAGGGAAGAUUUUGUAAUGGUAAAAGUAAGACGGGAACUGCAAAGUCCUGCACACUGAACAAGGAAGUUUUUCAGGUUAACCUCAACACAGGCCACAGAUUUGUCCUCAGAACAAUUACCCCCUGCCCUGCAAAUAAAACACUGAACUCAGACUAUUUCUGCAAAAAUUGUCACUUUGUGUGUACAAUCACACGAGCAUAAUUUACUGCAAAGCUGCUCAUCAAUAAGCAACCGAGAUAUUAAUAUUGAAUGACAUUGUCAAAGGUCCCAACCUUAACAUGCUACAUCUGUAUCUUCUGUCUCAAGAAGUUGCUUUCUUUUCAUCAAACACAUUCCAGAAGUCAACAGUAAAAGCACUGACAAGAGACAGCAGAUUGAUCCAUUAACUCUCACUCACUGCUAACAGUUCCUUGGCUGAAACCAGACCCUGCAUUCCACUUGGGAAGAUUUGGUCAGGUUCUUGAGACAAAUGACAUUUUCCAGGAUGGUCACCUACUUCAGCUGAAAACUCACUGCUUUUCAAGAGUCAAUUUUCUGAUGUGACAAUGGCACUUCCCAAAGAAAGCCAGCACUUUUCCAAAGAAAAACACCUGAUCAAAACGCCAUGUGCACACAUGAAUCUACCUAUUACUAGAUUUUGCUUUCCAUGCAGACCACAGCACUAUGUACAAUCCUGCAGCAGAACCAGUAGAGAUUGCUCCACUGUCGUCACGGGGAGG